rnacentral:rRNA from 1 species
AUCGCAGCCUGCAACCCGGCUGCGUGAAGCUGGAAUCGCUAGUAAUCGCGGAUCAGAAUGCCGCGGUGAAUACGUUCCCGGGCCUUGUACACACCGCCCGUCACACCAUGGGAGCCGGUAAUACCCGAAGUCAGUAGUCCAACCACGUGAGGACGCUGCCGAAGGUAGGAUUGGCGACUGGGGUGAAGUCGUAACAAGGUAGC